ensembl:lncRNA
GUGAGGGUUGGAGUAGGGUAGAUAGGUGGUGAGGGUUAGAGGAGGGUAGAUAGGUGAGGGUUAGAGUAGGGUAGAUAAGAGGUGGGGGUUGGAGGAGGGUAGAUAGGAGGUGAGGGUUAGAGGAGGGUAGAUAGGUGAGGGUUAGAGGAGGGUAGAUAGGAGGUGAGGGUUGGAGGAGGGUAGAUAGGAGGUGAGAGUUAGAGGAGGGUAGAUAGGAGGUGAGGGUUGGAGGAGGGUAGAUAGGUGGUGAGGGUUAGAGGAGGGUAGAUAGGUGAGGGUUAGAGGAGGGUAGAUAUGAGGUGAGG